GACCCGCUGUCUAUGACUCAGGAACACAUGGGGCCACGUCCGCCAAGACAGGAGUCCGGCUUCCUCAGGACCCGCUGGAGGACCCUGGAGGCGCUGUUCAGAGUCACAUCCACCUCAGCAGGGCUACUCAGAACGACAAGCAGUUUGCAUUUUGUAAGGAGUCAUCUGGUUCAUUCAUUAUCUAUUGCUGAAAAAAAAUCACUUCAAAACGUUGUGUCUGAAAAUAACAAGCAUGGAUCAUCUCUGGAGAAUUCAAAUGGAAUAAAAGGGCACCCAAGAAAAGUAAAAUCUUUCUGUCCCAGGGAUCCAGUUCCAUCUACCUAUCCACCUACCCAGAGAUAAGUAUAUUUUACUGUUAAAAAGAUUUCUAAGUGUAAAUAACAAAAUUUUUGCCUUUUUGUUUUGAUAAUUUCAGAUUUACAAAAAUAGUACCAAAAAAACCCACAUACCCUUCACCUAAACUUCUCAAAUGUUAGCAUUUUGCCACAUUUGUUUUAUUAUUCUUUCUCUCAUAAAUAUAUAAUUUUCCUCUCUUACUCUCUCAUACACACAUACACACAUACAUAUCACAUGCACACUUUUUUCUGAACAAGUUGAGAUUGGAUUGCAAAUAUGCCUAUUUAUAUCUGUGUUUCCUGAAAAUAAGAUCAUUUUCCUUUAUAAACAUAGUAUAAUUAUAAAAAUCAAGAGAGUAACAUCAAUUUGAUAUUAUUAUCUAAUCUACAGACCUUAUUCAAAUGUUACUAACUACUCUACUAAUGUCUUUUAUAGCAGAAGAAAAAUAAUAGUUUUCUGCUUCAAGAUCCAAUCCAAGAUCACACAUUGCAUUUAGUUGUCAUGCCUGUUUAGUCUCCUUUAAAUUGGAAGAGUUCCUCAGUCUUUGUUUUUCUAUAGAUAAUAUUUUUAUAAAAUCACAAAUAUAAUAAUUCUAUUUAUACUUAUGUCCCUUAUCUUUUUCCCUUACCAAUCUAAUGUUACAUUUCAGUACAUAUGUAUUAUCUCAUUCCCUUCACCAACUACACAGUAAUGUAUCAGUCAGGAUGAUCUGGAUUUCGCCAUGAUAACAAAAAUACCAGAAGUGGCUUAAUGCUGCAAAUUCUUGUGCAUGUGACAUCUGUUUGUCCUCCUUAUGAAGGCGCAGUGCUCUGGCUGCUUCUGUCUCAUGACUCUCCCUCCUGGGAUGUGUUUCUACAAUUGCUGCACCAGAAGAGCUUGGGGAACCUCACGUGGACUCUUAAAAUCCUUUAAAAUUUUCAGACGACAAAACAAAUCACAUCAGCAUGCCCACCCUCAAAGGGGCAGAAAUAUAUUCCUUCCACCUACCCAGAAGGAAAAGGAAUCAAGAAAUACUGGCAAGACUGGUAAUAUCAACCACAUGUGUCAUUGACUGGGCAUACCAUAACUUAUUUAAGUAGUUCUUUAUUUAUGGACAUUUAUUUUUUUUAUUUAUUUUUUUAAAUUUUUAUUUAUUUAUGAUAGUCACACACACAGAGAGAGAGAGGGGGGCAGAGACACAGGCAGAAGGAGAAGCAGGCUCCAUGCACCGAGAGCCCGACUUGGGAUUCGAUCCCGGGUCUCCAGGAUCGCGCCCUGGGCCAAAGGCAGGCGCCAAACCGCUGCGCCACCCAGGGAUCCCUAUUUAUGGACAUUUAGAUUGCUUCUGUUUUUUUUUUUUUAAUCUUUACACAUUUAUUUUUGCCACUCACUUGCAUAUCUACGUAUAAAUUCCAAGAAAUGGAAUUGCAAAGCAAAGGGAAUGUACAUCUAAAGUUUAGGCUGCCAUUUUGAGCUUUAUGCAAGAUGAGUGAACAGUGGGAGCCAGACAACAGAGGCAGAGGCAGGAAAACAAAAGAAAGAAAUGGGACAGACAGAGAAAGUAGAUUUCAAGACUGACUUUCCAAUUUACAAGCCCCUUGAAUCUUGACUGUUCGUGUCUAUUAAACUGCAGUUUGCAUUCAAUAAGCUCUUGUUUUUACUUCUGCAUGUUUGGGUGGGUUUCUGCUACUUGCCCUAAGUUGCAGCACAAUUGGAGGGGACAGAAAGAAGGAUGGCAUAAUCAUUGCUCUCAAUUCAGUUUCCAACCCAGUAAAGAGCUGAGCACUCAGUCACCAAACCAAAGUUCCCCCGCUGGACCAGUGUUUUGUAAGUUCAGCUGCUUUUAAAUUCAGUGUGAUGGUUGAUAGAAGUGAAGCUUACCUAGAUCUGGAAUAAGAGCACAGCCAAGGAAAGUCAGGAAAGUCUUGCUUUUAAAUUCCCUCUCAGGAUACAUUCUUCACAUUUUUGAAAACCCAGCUCAGGUUCUACUUCAUGAAGUGUCAUCAGUUGCUACCGGAGCUCACCCUGAUCUCCAUUUUUCUAAAUGCUUGUAACACAAGACAAUCAGCCCACAUUUGGUUUUAUACUGUUCUCUGUCUUAAUGCUAGAAUGAGCUUUUAAGUUCUUUGAGAAAAUAUUUUAUACCUAUUUUGAAUUUCCGAAGAACCCUGUGGAUAAAACACCUAAUAAAGGUGCAGUCACUAUUAAGUGACUGCUUCUA
rnacentral:lncRNA from 12 species